GAAAGUAUAGUAAGGGCGUAUGGUGAAUGCCUUGGAAAAUGGAGCCGAUGAAGGACGCGACUACCUGCGAAAAGCGCCGGGGAGCUGGAAGUAAGCUUUGAUCCGACGAUGUCCGAAUGGGGAAACCCAGCACGAUUAAUCUCGUGUUAUCCAUAACUGAAUACAUAGGUUAUGUGAAGGGAACCUUGGGAACUGAAACAUCUUAGUACCAAGAGGAAAAGAAAACGAAUGUGAUUCUGUCAGUAGCGGCGAGCGAAAGCGGAACAGGCCAAACCGGUCUACGGGCCGGGGUUGUAGGACUCAUGUUAGAGUUACAAAGUUAGUGUAUAGCAGAAGCUGUUGGGAAGCAGCGCCGCAGAGGGUGAUAGCCCCGUAUGCGAAAUGCACUAACCUCGAGUGAGUAUCCUGAGUACGGCGGGGCACGAGAAACCCUGUCGGAAUCUACCCAGACCACUGGGUAAGCCUAAAUACUACCAUUUUACCGAUAGUGAACCAGUACCGUGAGGGAAAGGUGAAAAGUACCCCGAGAGGGGAGUGAAAUAGUUCCUGAAACCAUACGCUUACAAGAAGUCAGAGCCCGUUAAUGGGUGAUGGCGUGCUUUUUGUAGAAAGAGCCGGCGAGUUACGAUAUCGUGCAAGGUUAAGUGGAAUCCACGGAGCCGUAGUGAAAGCGAGCCUUAAUAGGGCGUUUAGUACGAUGUCGUAGACACGAAACCAGGUGAUCUAGCCAUGAGCAGGUUGAAGUUAGGGUAAAACCUAAUGGAGGACCGAACCAACGUUCGUUGAAAAGACCGUGGAUGACUUGUGGCUAGGGGUGAAAUUCCAAUCGAACCUGGAGAUAGCUAGUUCUCCCCGAUAUAGCUUUAAGGCUAGCGUCGAGGUAAAGGAUUAUGGAGGUAGAGCUCUGAAUGUGUGAUGGCCCCACCUAGGGGUACUGAUCACAAUUAAACUGCGAAUGCCAUAAUUUCAUACUCGGCAGUCAGAACAUGGGUGAUAAGGUCCAUGCUCGUGAGGGAAACAGCCCAGAUCAACAACUAAGGUCCCUAAAUUUACGCUAAGUGUGUAAGGAUGUGGAAGUGCACAGACAGCUAGGAUGUUGGCUUAGAAGCAGCCAUCAUUUAAAGAGUGCGUAACAGCUCACUAGUCGAGUGCUUCUGCGCCGAAAAUGUACCGGGGCUUAAGCGUAGUACCGAAGUUUUGGAUUUGGUAGCAAUACCAAGUGGUAGGGGAGCGUUCUAAUUGCGAUGAAGUUCGACCGUGAGGACGUGUGGAGCGAUUAGAAGUGAUUAUGCCGGCAUGAGUAACGUUUGGAAGUGAGAAUCUUCCAUGCCGUUUGACCAAGGUUUCCUGGGCAAGGUUCGUCCACCCAGGGUUAGUCAGGACCUAAGGCGAGGCCGAAAGGCGUAGUCGAUGGACAACAGGUUGAUAUUCCUGUACCACCUAAUAAAGUGAUGGAGUGACGGAGAAGGAUAGUGAAUGCCAGCUGUUGGAUAUGCUGGUCUAAGCGCAAAGAGGUGUACGUUGGCAAAUCCGCGUACUGUAACCUUGAAGCGUUAUGGGGAGUGAAAGCUUAGGCAAGUAGCGAAGUUCAUGACUCCACGCUUCCAAGAAAAGCUUCUAGCGUUAAUUUAUUAGGUGCCUGUACCUAGAACGAACACACGUGGUCAAGGAGAGAAUCCUAAGGCAAGCGAGAUAACUAUAGCUAAGGAACUCUGCAAAAUCACCCCGUAAGUUAGCGAGAAGGGGUGCUCACUUUAUGUGAGCCGCAGUGAAGAGGAAGGGGCAACUGUUUAGCAAAAACACAGCUCUCUGCAAAGUCGUAAGACGAAGUAUAGGGGGUGACGCCUGCCCAGUGCCGGAAGGUUAAGAGGAGAUGUUAGCUUCGGUGAAGCAUCGAAUUGAAGCCCCGGUGAACGGCGGCCGUAACUAUAACGGUCCUAAGGUAGCGAAAUUCCUUGUCAGGUAAGUUCUGACCCGCACGAAAGGCGUAAUGAUCCCUUCGCUGUCUCGGCUAUAGACUCGGUGAAAUUUUAGUACCAGUGAAGAUGCUGGUUACCCGCAACUAGACGGAAAGACCCCGUGGAGCUUUACUAUAACUUAAUAUUGAAUCUUGGUGUAACAUGUAGAGGAUAGGUGGGAGACUUUGAAGCGAUCACGCUAGUGGUCGUGGAGUCAUCCUUGGAAUACCACCCUUGUUACAUUGAGGUUCUAACCUAGACCCGUUAUCCGGGCCAGGGACAGUGUUUGGUGGGUAGUUUGACUGGGGCGGUCGCCUCCUAAAAUGUAACGGAGGCGCUCAAAGGUACCCUCAGUACGGUUGGAAAUCGUACGAAGAGCGCAAAGGUAUAAGGGUGCUUAACUGCGAGACUUACAAGUCGAACAGAUGCGAAAGCAGGACUUAGUGAUCCGGCGGUCCCGUGUGGAAGGGCCGUCGCUCAACGGAUAAAAGUUACCCCGGGGAUAACAGGCUGAUCUCCCCCAAGAGUUCACAUCGACGGGGAGGUUUGGCACCUCGAUGUCGGCUCAUCGCAUCCUGGAGCUGUAGUCGGUUCCAAGGGUUGGGCUGUUCGCCCAUUAAAGCGGUACGCGAGCUGGGUUCAGAACGUCGUGAGACAGUUUGGUCCCUAUCUGUUGUGGGCGUAGGAAAAUUGAGAAGAGCUGUUCCUAGUACGAGAGGACCGGAAUGGACGCACCCCUGGUGCUCCUGUUGUCACGCCAGUGGCACAGCAGGGUAGCUAUGUGCGGAAAGGAUAAUCGCUGAAGGCAUCUAAGCGAGAAGCCUCCUUCAAGAUGAGUUUUCCCAUUCUUCGGAAGUAAGAUCCCAUGUAGACCACAUGGUUGAUAGGUUGGGUGUGUACGCACGGCGACGUGUUUAGCUAACCAAUACUAAUAGAUCGAGGUCUUUCAAAG
rnacentral:rRNA from 1 species